UUCCUUUCAAUAACUACAGAUCUGUGCCCAGCCGUCCCCGUCCGCUCAGGCGGAGUCAGGGUCGAUCGCUGCGGCAGUUCGAUUACUCCAAGGAGACGGAAUUUAUUUCAUGAAGUCAAUCUUCCAAUCGACAGGUCUAAGAGCAAUUGGGUGCUGGAAACCGGGCUCCCUUCGGGUGAGCCUGCGCGUGAACAGUAUCUCGAGGGCGCCAUAUUCCACACCGUUCGCCGAGAUCGUCGAUCAAUGAGGUUGGGGAAAACCAUGGCAAUGCCUACAUAC
rfam:Valsa mali strain 03-8 chromosome 3, whole genome shotgun sequence.